rnacentral:rRNA from 1 species
GGGCCCGCACAAGCGGUGGAUUAUGUGGAUUAAUUCGAUGCAACGCGAAAAACCUUACCUGGCCUUGACAUGUACCGAAUUUAGCAGAGAUGCUUUAGUGCUCGUAAGAGAACGGUAACACAGGUGCUGCAUGGCUGUCGUCAGCUCGUGUCGUGAGAUGUUGGUUAAGUCCCGCAACGAGCGCAACCCUUGCCAUUAAUUGCCAUCAUUUAGUUGGGCACUUUAAUGGGACUGCCGGUGACAAACCGGAGGAAGGUGGGGAUGACGUCAAGUCCUCAUGGCCCUUAUGGCCAGGGCUUCACACGUAAUACAAUGGUCGGUACAGAGGGCUGCUAACCCGCGAGGGGGUGCUAA